UACAGAGGUCCCGAGCGUUGUUCGGAUUCACUGGGCGUAAAGGGUGCGUAGGUGGUGAGGUAAGUCGGAUGUGAAAUCUCCAGGCUCAACCUGGAAACUGCAUUGGAAACUACCUUGCUGGAGGAUUUGAGGGGGGAUUGGAAUACUUGGUGUAGCAGUGAAAUGCGUAGAUAUCAAGUGGAACACCAGUGGCGAAGGCGAAUCCCUGGACAACACCUGACACUGAGGCACGAAAGCUAGGGGAGCAAACAGG
rnacentral:rRNA from 1 species